rnacentral:rRNA from 1 species
ACGGGAGGCAGCAGUGAGGAAUAUUGGUCAAUGGACGAGAGUCUGAACCAGCCAAGUAGCGUGAAGGAUGACUGCCCUAUGGGUUGUAAACUUCUUUUGUUCGGGAAUAAAGUCACCUACGUGUAGGUGUUUGUAUGUACCGUUCGAAUAAGCAUCGGCUAAUUCCGUGCCAGCAGCCGCGGUAAUACGGAAGAUGCGAGCGUUAUCCGGAUUUAUUGGGUUUAAAGGGAGCGUAGGCGGACUGUUAAGUCAGCGGUUAAAUGUCACGGCUCAACCAUGGCAUGCCGUUGAAACUGGUGGUCUUGAAUACACACAAGGAUGGUGGAAUUCGUCGUGUAGCGGUGAAAUGCUUAGAUAUGACGAAGAACUCCGAUUGCGAAGGCAGCCAUCUGGGGUGCGAUUGACGCUGAGGCUCGAAAGUGCGGGAAUCAAACAGGAUUAGAUACCCUGGUA